UUCCUGUAUGAUCACCAAAGUUAAGCUACAUCGAGCCUGGUCAUUACUUAGAUGGGUGACUGCUUGGGAAUAUCAGGUGCUGUAAG